AGAGUUUGAUCCUGGCUCAGAAUGAACGCUGGCGGCGUGCUUAACACAUGCAAGUCGUACGAGAACACUCUAGCUUGCUAGGGUAAGUAAAGUGGCGCACGGGUGAGUAACGCGUGGGUAAUCUACCUUCGAAUUGGGGAUAACGUUGCGAAAGCGACGCUAAUACCGAAUAACAUCCAUUAAUCUUCGGGUUUUUGGAUCAAGGGUGGCCUCUACAUGUAAGCUACUGUUUGAAGAUGAGCCCGCGUACCAUUAGCUUGUUGGUGGGGUAAAGGCCUACCAAGGCUUCGAUGGUUAGCUGGUCUGAGAGGAUGAUCAGCCACACUGGAACUGACACACGGUCCAGACUCCUACGGGAGGCAGCAGUGAGGAAUUUUGCGCAAUGGGGGAAACCCUGACGCAGCAACGCCGCGUGAGUGAUGAAGGCUUUCGGGUCGUAAAGCUCUGUCAAGUGGGAAGAACCUGCAGUAUGCUAAUAUCAUAUUGCACUGACGGUACCACUGAAGGAAGCACCGGCUAACUCCGUGCCAGCAGCCGCGGUAAUACGGGGGGUGCAAGCGUUAUUCGGAAUCAUUGGGCGUAAAGAGCACGUAGGCGGCCUGGUAAGUCAGAUGUGAAAGCCCGGGGCUUAACCCCGGAAGUGCAUGUUGAUACUGUCAGGCUUGAGUAUGCGAGAGGGAAGUGGAAUUCCUGGUGUAG
rnacentral:rRNA from 1 species